GGAAUAUUGCACAAUGGGCGCAAGCCUGAUGCAGCCAUGCCGCGUGUAUGAAGAAGGCCUUCGGGUUGUAAAGUACUUUCAGCGGGGAGGAAGGCGAUAAGGUUAAUAACCUUGUCGAUUGACGUUACCCGCAGAAGAAGCACCGGCUAACUCCGUUCCAGCAGACGCGGUAAUACGGCGGGUGCAAGCGUUAAUCGGAAUUACUGGGUGUAAAGCGCACGCAGGCGAUCUGUCAAGUAGGAUGUGAAGUCCCCGGGCUCAACCUGGGAACUGCAUUCGAAACUGGCAGGCUAGAGUCUUGUAGAGGGGGGUAGAAUUCCAGGUGUAGCGGUGAAAUGCGUAGAGAUCUGGAGGAAUACCGGUGGCGAAGGCGGCCCCCUGGACAAAGACUGACGCUCAGGUGCGAAAGCGUGGGGAGCAAACA
rnacentral:rRNA from 1 species